UUAGGUUAAGUUAUUAAGGGCGUAUGGUGGAUGCCUUGGCACUAGGAGCCGAUGAAGGACGUGACUAACUGCGAUAUGCUUCGGGGAGUUGUAAGUAAACUAUGAUCCGGAGAUUUCCGAAUGGGGAAACCUAACAGGUUUUACCGCCUGUUAUCACUAAGUGAAUUCAUAGCUUAGUUGAAGGUAGACGUGGGGAACUGAAACAUCUAAGUACCCACAGGAAGAGAAAGAAAUUCGAUUCCCUCAGUAGCGGCGAGCGAACCGGGAAGAGCCCAAACUAAGAAGCUUGCUUCUUAGGGUUGUAGGACUGAACAUUUGAGUUACCAAGAAAUGAAGUAGUUGAAUAAUCUGGGAAGAUUAGCCAAAGAGAGUGAUAGCCUCGUAAGCGAAACUUCGUUUCCUCAGUUCAGGAUCCUGAGUACGGCGGAACACGUGAAACUCCGUCGGAAUCCGGGAGGACCAUCUCCCAAGGCUAAAUACUACCUAGUGACCGAUAGUGAACCAGUACCGUGAGGGAAAGGUGAAAAGCACCCCGGGAGGGGAGUGAAAUAGUUCCUGAAACCAUAUGCCUACAAGUAGUCAGAGCUCGUUAAUGAGUGAUGGCGUGCCUUUUGUAGAAUGAACCGGCGAGUUACGUUAGCGUGCGAGGUUAAGGAGGAAAGUCCGGAGCCGUAGCGAAAGCGAGUCUGAAUAGGGCGAGAUAGUACGUUGACGUAGACCCGAAACCAGGUGACCUACCCAUGUCCAGGUUGAAGGUGCGGUAAAACGCACUGGAGGACCGAACCCGUGUAUGUUGAAAAAUGCUGGGAUGAGGUGUGGGUAGAGGUGAAAUUCCAAACGAACUUGGAGAUAGCUGGUUCUCUCCGAAAUAGCUUUAGGGCUAGCCUCGGAGUUAAGAAUCGUGGAGGUAGAGCACUGUUUGGACUAGGGGCCCGUCUUGGGUUACUGAAUUCAGAUAAACUCCGAAUGCCACAGAUUUAUAUCCGGGAGUCAGACUGCGAGUGAUAAGAUCCGUAGUCGAAAGGGAAACAGCCCAGACCACCGAUUAAGGUCCCAAAAUAUGUGUUAAGUGGAAAAGGAUGUGGAAUUGCAUAGACAACUAGGAUGUUGGCUUAGAAGCAGCCACCAUUUAAAGAGUGCGUAAUAGCUCACUAGUCGAGUGAUCCUGCGCCGAAAAUGUAACGGGGCUAAACACAUUACCGAAAUCGUGGAUGUACCUUAGGGUACAUGGUAGGAGAGCGUUCUAAGGACGGCGAAGCUAGACCGUAAGGACUGGUGGAGUGCUUAGAAGUGAGAAUGCCGGUAUGAGUAGCGAAAGAUCAGUGAGAAUCUGGUCCACCGUAUGACUAAGGUUUCCUGGGGAAGGCUCGUCCUCCCAGGGUUAGUCGGGACCUAAGCCGAGGCCGAGAGGCGUAGGCGAUGGAUAACAGGUUGAGAUUCCUGUACUGGUUAAACUUGUUUGAACAAUGGAGGGACGCAGGAGGCUAUCGAUGCGUACUGUUGGAUAUGUACGUUCAAGCAACAAGUCUGUAGAUGAGUCAAAUGCUUAUCUACUUAA
rnacentral:rRNA from 2 species